rnacentral:rRNA from 1 species
AAUGAACGCUGGCGGCGUGCCUAACACAUGCAAGUCGGAUGUGCCCGCAAGGGUGCAUGGCAGACGGGUGAGUAACGCGUGGGGAAUCUACCUUUUAGUGGGGAAUAACGCUCCGAAAGGAGUGGUAAUACCGCAUGUGACCAUCGGCUGGGAUGCUGAUGGUGAAACCCUGGGACCUUCGGGCCAGGGGCUAGAAGAGGAUCCUGCGUCUGAUUAGCUAGUUGGCGGGUAACGGCCACCAAGGCGACGAUCAGUAGCCGGCCUGAGAGGGUGAUCGGCCACACUGGAACUGAGACACGGUCCAGACUCCUACGGGAGGCAGCAGUGGGGAAUUUUGCGCAAUGGACGAAAGUCUGACGCAGCAACGCCGCGUGGGUGAUGAAGGUCUUCGGAUGUAAAACCCUGUCGCCAGGGACGAAGGUGGGGCGUGAAUAGCGUUCGUACUUUGACGGUACCUGGAAGGAAGCCCCGGCUAACGUCUGUGCCAGCAGC